rnacentral:rRNA from 1 species
UACGUAGGGUGCAAGCGUUGUCCGGAAUCAUUGGGCGUAAAGAGCGUGUAGGCGGCCCGAUAAGUCCGCUGUGAAAGUCCAGGGCUCAACCCUGGGAUGCCGGUGGAUACUGUCGGGCUCGAGUCCGGAAGAGGAGUGUGGAAUUCCUGGUGUAGCGGUGAAAUGCGCAGAUAUCAGGAGGAAUACCAAUGGCGAAGGCAGCACUCUGGGACGUGACUGACGCUGAGACGCGAAAGCGUGGGGAGCAAACAGG